rnacentral:rRNA from 1 species
UACGGGGGGGGCAAGCGUUGUUCGGAAUUACUGGGCGUAAAGGGCUCGUAGGCGGCCAACUAAGUCGGAUGUGAAAUCCCCAGGCUUAACCUGGGAACUGCAUCCGAUACUGGAUGGCUUGAAUCCGGGAGAGGGAUGCAGAAUUCCAGGUGUAGCGGUGAAAUGCGUAGAUAUCUGGAGGAAUACCGGUGGCGAAGGCGGCUACCUGGACCGGUUCUGACGCUGAUGCGCGAAAGCGUGGGGAGCAAACAGG